UGGGGAAUCUUAGACAAUGGGGGAAACCCUGAUCUAGCCAUGCCGCGUGGACGAUGAAGGCCUUAGGGUUGUAAAGUCCUUUCAGCUGGGAAGAUAAUGACGGUACCAGCAGAAGAAGCCCCGGCUAACUCCGUGCCAGCAGCCGCGGUAAUACGGAGGGGGCUAGCGUUGUUCGGAAUUACUGGGCGUAAAGCGCACGUAGGCGGACUGGAAAGUUGGGGGUGAAAUCCCAGGGCUCAACCCUGGAACUGCCUUCAAAACUAUCAGUCUGGAGUUCGAGAGAGGUGAGUGGAAUUCCGAGUGUAGAGGUGAAAUUCGUAGAUAUUCGGAGGAACACCAGUGGCGAAGGCGGCUCACUGGCUCGAUACUGACGCUGAGGUGCGAAAGCGUGGGGAGCAAACAG
rnacentral:rRNA from 1 species